GCGUGGGUAACCUGCCUUACACUGGGGGAUAACACUUAGAAAUAGGUGCUAAUACCGCAUAACAGAGGGAGUCGCAUGACUUCGUCUUAAAAACUCCGGUGGUGUAAGAUGGACCCGCGUCUGAUUAGCUGGUUGGCGGGGUAGCGGCCCACCAAGGCGACGAUCAGUAGCCGGCCUGAGAGGGUGAACGGCCACAUUGGGACUGAGACACGGCCCAAACUCCUACGGGAGGCAGCAGUGGGGAAUAUUGGACAAUGGGGGGAACCCUGAUCCAGCGACGCCGCGUGAGUGAAGAAGUAUUUCGGUAUGUAAAGCUCUAUCAGCAGGGAAGAAAGAAAUGACGGUACCUGACUAAGAAGCCCCGGCUAACUACGUGCCAGCAGCCGCGGUAAUACGUAGGGGGCAAGCGUUAUCCGGAUUUACUGGGUGUAAAGGGAGCGUAGACGGUAGUGCAAGUCUGGAGUGAAAGGCGGGGGCCCAACCCCCGGACUGCUCUGGAAACUGUGCGACUAGAGUGCAGGAGAGGUAAGUGGAAUUCCUAGUGUAGCGGUGAAAUGCGUAGAUAUUAGGAGGAACACCAGUGGCGAAGGCGGCUUACUGGACUGUAACUGACGUUGAGGCUCGAAAGCGUGGGGAGCAAACAGGAUUAGAUACCCUGGUAGUCCACGCCGUAAACGAUGAUCACUAGGUGU
rnacentral:rRNA from 1 species